AAUCAAAAAGCCACUUUUGCUUCCGAUAAUCGGCAGUAUCAACAAACUCGUCGGAGGAGAAGCAGGGGAACAGUCGGAGAGACAGUGGCGCGCGUUCAACCUCGAAAUAUUCAUUCGCGGGCCGAUUCCGAGAACCAUCGCCGAUCGUUCGUAGUUUAUAAAUUUGUUCCUAAAAUAAAUCCUGCCUAGUUUUAUUUGAUUCAACGGGCGACAUCCUGCUGACGGUCAGUGUGUGUGCGAUUUUCACGAACAUUUCCACUACCAACUACCAAUAAGUGAUUUGGUACCCCAAUAGGUACCAACACGGAAACGCGUUGCAAUAUUGUUGUUGUUGUGGUGCUAAUUUACUGUGCCGUAGCAGCGAGGUGACCUCGAACAGUAUUUUUUACAUUUCUAUUGGAUAUAAUCAUGUCGCUUAGUAAGGUAGCAGCACAGAUGCAUUAGGAGAGCGGCCCUAUGAUGCAACCCACCUAAGUGAUGUCAUUGAAGUCAUUAAGGAGACUGACCCGGACUUUAAAGAGUCCAGCAGAGGGACCCGAAGUGAACAGACAGCAAGGCCCAUGUUGAACGGAGGUGGGCAGAUUUCUGUGCCCCCACAACAACAACGCAGUUCAGGGGCAUCCAGACGAAGGCAUCCUGCUGAAGUUCGGGUAAGUUAAGUGUAAUGCCAAAUUCUUUUGUCAGUCUUAAAGUGGAGGGUUUAAGUAAAGCAACUGUUGAGCCUUCAUGUUCAUUUAAGAGCCAAAUACAUUGUCGCUUUUAAAUAUCAAAUUUAUAGUUCUGCGCUUAUCUUUCGGGUCAAUUCGCCAGCGACUCACCAAAGAUUAUCUAAAUUUACAGUUGUAUAUUUCGAAAAAAUGCUCUAUACUGGGUGCGUUCAUUAAUGAUGAGCGAACAUUCAAAAGGGCGACUCUACAUGCAAAACUAUUGGGAAUUUCGACGAUGAUCGAAAAAUGUUCCUUUUUUUAAAUCAAUCAAUUUAUUAAGCAGGGCAGUUGUAAACGCGCAUGUCUUUCCAUAGUUAUAGUCAUUUUAAUCAUCAAGAAAUAACGUGAAAUGUAACACAUUCCUAUGAAAAUAGUUCCACACGUUUUAUUGUUUUUUCCACACAAAAUCAGGUAAAAAG
rnacentral:lncRNA from 1 species